GGAUUGAUCUAUUAUCCUAUGGCUUUAGUUUUAGAGAUUAUAUUUUAGGGUUUCAAUCUUUACAAACAAUUCGAAUUCAAUUCUCAUGUUCUUAGAAUUAGGGUUACCUUUUGUUUGCAGAUUGUAGAAACCGGACCACCAAGAGAACCUCGAACGGAUGCGAGCUUGUUAUGUGCUGAUCAAGUCGUGGGAUGGGAGUUGUCGCGAACGAAAGCACAAAUGAGUUGGAGUUGAAGUCGCGCGAGCUGAUCGCUGUCGGGUCGCGAGCUGUCUGAUCGGGGAACACGAGCUGUAGCUGUCCGGGAUGCAAGCUGAGAAUGGAUGGAGCUGAGGCUGAGUUCGUCUAGCAUCAGAAACACCUUAGGGCUGGGGCUGAUCGGAUGAACACGAGCUGGAACGCUUGCAAGAACAGAUUAGGGUUCGUCGGGUUAGGGUUCAAGGUCGCCGGCUAGGUUUUAGGUUUAGGAGUUUUUCGAUUAGGUUUUAGGCUUAGGGUGUUUAGGGACUAUCGUGCUGAUAACGUGUUGUAAAACAAUAGAUUUAGAGCUGAAUGUU
rnacentral:lncRNA from 1 species